AUUGAACGCUGGCGGCAUGCCUUACACAUGCAAGUCGAACGGCAGCACGGGUGCUUGCACCUGGUGGCGAGUGGCGAACGGGUGAGUAAUACAUCGGAACAUGUCCUGUAGUGGGGGAUAGCCCGGCGAAAGCCGGAUUAAUACCGCAUACGAUCUACGGAUGAAAGCGGGGGACCUUCGGGCCUCGCGCUGUAGGGUUGGCCGAUGGCUGAUUAGCUAGUUGGUGGGGUAAAGGCCUACCAAGGCGACGAUCAGUAGCUGGUCUGAGAGGACGACCAGCCACACUGGGAGUGAGGCACGGCCCAGACUCCUACGGGAGGCAGCAGUGGGGAAUCUUGCACAAUGGGCGAAAGCCUGAUCCAGCAAUGCCGCGUGUGUGAAGAAGGCCUUCGGGUUGUAAAGCACUGUUGUCCGGAAAGAAAUCCUUGGCCCUAAUACGGGCGGGGGAUGACGGUACCGGAAGAAUAAGCACCGGCUAACUACGUG
rnacentral:rRNA from 1 species